GACGAACGCUGGCGGCGUGCUUAACACAUGCAAGUCGAACGGAAAGGCCCUGCUUUUUUGGGGUGCUCGAGUGGCGAACGGGUGAGUAACACGUGAGUAACCUGCCCUUGACUUUGGGAUAACUUCAGGAAACUGGGGCUAAUACCGGAUAGGAGCUCCUGCUGCAUGGUGGGGGUUGGAAAGUUUCGGCGGUUGGGGAUGGACACGCGGCUUAUCGGCUUGUUGGUGGGGUAGUGGCUUACCAAGGCUUUGACGGGUAGCCGGCCUGAGAGGGUGACCGGCCACAUUGGGACUGGGAUACGACCCAGACUCCUACGGGAGGCAGCGGUGGGGAAGAUUGCACAGUGGGAGGAGGCCUGAUGCGGCAACGCCGCGUGCGGGAUGACGGCCUUCGGGUUGUAAACCGCUUUCGCCUGUGACGAGGCGUGAGUGACGGUAAUGGGUAAAUAAGCACCGGCUAACUACGUG
rnacentral:rRNA from 1 species